rnacentral:rRNA from 1 species
UACGUAGGGGCAAGCGUUGUCCGGAUUUAUUGGGCGUAAAGAGCGUGUAGGCGGCCUGGUAGGUCAGCUGUGAAACUCGAGGCUCAACCUCGGAGACGCCGGUUGAAACCAUCAGGCUAGAGUCCGGAAGAGGAGAGUGGAAUUCCCGGUGUAGCGGUGAAAUGCGCAGAUAUCGGGAAGAACACCCGUGGCUAAGGCGGCUACUCUAGUACGGUACUGACGCUGAGACGACGAAAGCGUGG